UUCAAAGACCUGUUUCUUUGAUGAGGGGU
rnacentral:piRNA from 1 species